AUCGCUUCUCGGCCUUUUGGCUAAGAUCAAGUGUAGUAUCUGAACUCACCGAUUCCUCCUCUUUUGCUGGCUCCAUUUCUUCUACUGGACCUCUA
rnacentral:snRNA from 1 species